CCUACGGGGGGCAGCAGUGGGGAAUAUUGGACAAUGGGCGAAAGCCUGAUCCAGCCAUGCCGCGUGUGUGAAGAAGGCCUUCGGGUUGUAAAGCACUUUCAGUGGGGAAGAAAGCCUUGGGGCUAAUACCCUCGAGGAAGGACAUCACCCACAGAAGAAGCACCGGCUAACUCCGUGCCAGCAGCCGCGGUAAUACGGAGGGUGCGAGCGUUAAUCGGAAUUACUGGGCGUAAAGCGCGCGUAGGCGGUCUGAUAAGCCGGUUGUGAAAGCCCCGGGCUCAACCUGGGAACGGCAUCCGGAACUGUCAGGCUAGAGUGCAGGAGAGGAAGGUAGAAUUCCCGGUGUAGCAGUGAAAUGCGUAGAGAUCGGGAGGAAUACCAGUGGCGAAGGCGGCCUUCUGGACUGACACUGACGCUGAGGUGCGAAAGCGUGGGUAGCAAACAGGAUUAGCUACCCUAGUAGUC
rnacentral:rRNA from 1 species